UCCUAUAAAACACAAAUCACCUGACCAGUAAAAUUCUGCCACAUCAAAUUUAAUAUUUCAAAAUUAAAAGAAAAAACAAAACCAUUUAUCCAUUACUUUCGGACAAAAAAACAUUUACGAGAAAGGAAAAUAUAAAAACGUUUACACGUCUAAGAAAACCUGAACGAAAAUUUAAAAAGAAUAUAUUUGCAAAUGUUUGGGCUAUUAAUAAAGUCUAAGUACAUAAAAAUGAUUUGUAAACCCUGUAACUAUUUUCUUUGUUCUUUUUCUAUGUCUUCUCAUGCUUUAUCGAUUUGUAUCCCUAAUUUUCCGCCCACUAACACCUCCACGUUCAAGGUGAUUAUACAACCGAUUCCUCUUUUAUUUAAAUCCCAAUUCAGUUUCUAUUAUCUGUUAUCCUCUCCUCUAAUCCUCUCUGUUCCAUCGUUUUUUUUUCUGCUCAUCUAUUACAAUUCUCACUCAGGUGAAUGUUCAAACUUUUGUUCAUAUUCAUAGAUUUUAUCUUCAACUCAUAUUAAUUAUGAUUUUUAUAUAUUCAGGUGGAAGAUUCUCUGGAUUAUACCCAUCUUUCACAUCUAAAAUUCUUUGACAAAAGAAUGGAAGAUCAGAGCUUUAAUAUCGUGGACAUGGAAUUAUUAUCCAAAGAUAAAGCUGGAGUAAUUCUCAAGGGGUUAGUCUCCAACAUGAAAGAAUGAGCUUUCCGCCAAUGGAGUUUCAAACUGUCUCCUAAUCUCAAAUUGUCUUCUAUGCCAUUUACAAGACAUGAUAUCCUUAUGGUACCUCUACCUCACAUAUGGACUUCUUCUUAUUAAUUUCCCACUGUCAGGUUCUAGGAACAAUUGAUCUACGUUGUUGGGUAAAAUUUUAUUUAAUUCCUUCAUGAAACCCUUCCUCAAGUCUUCGCAGAAAAAUAAAAAGAAUUUAAUUCUCUUUGUCUGUUUUAAAUAACAAUAAUAAAAAGAAAAGAGAGAACAACAAUGAUUAGUCCUUUACUUAAUGCAAUCCAAUUUUUUUUAUUUGGAACCAUUUUUUAUUAACUUUUCCACAAUAUAUAUGUUGAUUGAUGUUCCCAAAAUUACCUUUUGUUUGGCAUAUUGAUUUUCAUUUUCAGCCCAUGCACGGUCCAAGUUGUAAGCAUGAUCAAAGUGGCAUACAAUUUUUUCAUCUCUCCAAGAUACUAUGCUUUGGUAAAUUUUAAAAUGGCCAUGAUUAGCCUUAUGGUUUAUACAAGGAUAAAGACAUGUGGAAAUGAAGUUAAGAAGAAGGAAUUGGCAAGUGAGGAGGAAACUGAAGAGUGAACAAGCAUGUGCAAUAGAAUACAAUUGUGUAUAUAAAGCAUGUAGUCAUUUCUGUGUAGAACAUGCACUGUUUUGUUAUUGAAAGGGCGAUGUAUGUGUUGCUUAGUGACAUAGAGCUUGUGUUGGUGAUUUAUGGACGGGUUUUUCUUAAUUUUAUGAACAUAUAUAUCGAACUAUUUAUUCAAGCGUUUAAAAGAUAUCUUUAAUUUUGUCAAGCUAUAAACCUUAAAUUUAUAGCUUAUAAUGGAGAGUUGCAAUAUAAUCAACAUUACAUUUACUUUUAACAACAUAGAAAUUUGGUAAUAUUCAACCAAUUUUUUUUUAUUGUAUAUUACUCUUAACAAUUAGUUAUAUAUUAUUUGAUUACAAAAAGCAAUGUCGUGCGUAUGCACGGGAGAAAUUCUAGUAUAGAAUAGGGCUGAAGCAAAUGUUGCUCUAUAAUAGAGAUUUGACUCUAAAAUAGAGUGGGGCUGGAGAUGUCCUAAUAAACAAUCUGAAGAGUUAAAUAAUCCAUCCAAAAACUAAAUCAAAUUGGUGAUGUUGAAUUUUGAUGAUGCAAGAGUACUGACACAUGAUGAUACUAUGUUUGGUUUGAAUAUAAUAAAGGUCUAAAGAAAAACUCAAAUUUAUUGUUAUUCUAAUUCUAUAAGAUUAUAUCAAAUAUUUUGAAAACAUUAAUUUAAUUUAAAUAUUAUUGAAAGAAAAUUAUGUUUAA